CCACCUCCCAGCUGAGUGCACACAACACAGCGGCCACGUGAAUCAGUUUCUUAAAGAGGAAGGCUCCUGGCUGUCUUGGGCAAGUAGGACUUUAGUAGCUGUUAGCGUUGCUGCGGCUGCUUAGGUGAGGGCCAAGGCCUAGAGAUUAGGAUGGAUGAGCACGAAGGAACUUUGGAGAAGGGAAAUCUUUUACUGGUGUCAGAGGUAAAAGAAAUUGAAGUUACUGUAGUGACUAAAAAGCAAAACAAACAGCUGAUGCAGUUUAUCUGAGGUCAUCUUUUUGACCGAAGUUGAGAAAACUUCCUGGCUGGCUGUUUUGCCUUUGUCACGGCCUAAUUUAUUUGUGACUCUGCCUUUAUUUGAGACUUUGCCUUUGUCACGUGCUUAAUUUAUUUGAGACUCCGAACCCGGAUAAUUGCGGGUCAGGCUCGUCCCUCUGCAAAAUUAUAAAACAAACAGGUCACCCACACUCACGAUGUGUCCUGGGAAAGAGAGCGACCCUGGCUUCUGAGGACCAGGUGAUCUUGUAGCCGGUCACGUAGCUCUAAACCUUAUGAAUUCGUUGCCAGCUUCAAUAACCAACAUUCCCAAAAGGUUCUCGGUGCCCACACUGCAUUUUACAUCCAGAGUAGAAGCUAUCCCACAUUUUUUUUGCUUCCCAAAUAAAAAUUUGCUCAGCUGCAUAGUUCGGUGUUUGGUACAUAGUAGAUGUUCAAUAAAUGUUUGUUGAAUUUAA